UACAUAGGUCGCAAGCGUUAUCCGGAAUUAUUGGGCGUAAAGGGCGCGUAGGCGGCGCGACAAGUCAGUGGUGAAAGCUCGACGCUCAACGUCGAGUCGGCCACUGAUACUGUUGGGCUUGAGCACUGUAGAGGCUAAUGGAAUUCCGGGUGUAGCGGUGGAAUGCGUAGAGAUCCGGAAGAACACCGGUGGCGAAGGCGAUUAGCUGGGCAGUUGCGGACACUGAGGCGCGACAGCGUGGGGAGCAAACAGG
rnacentral:rRNA from 1 species